rnacentral:lncRNA from 1 species
AACGCCCUCUAUUGUUGCUUCUCCGUUGUGCGUCGCCAAUCCGGUCGACGCAUUCGCCCUUUCUCUUGAGCGUUGCAAUCCGGUCAAUGCAUUUUGUUCCUGCUUCUUCGUCUGCGUUGCCGAUCCAGUCAACGUACUUGUCCCUUGUACUCUUGAUGCUCCCGCGCAUUGCAUUCCGGCCAACACCCUAUAUUCAUGCUUCCCCGUUGCGCGUCGUCAAUUUGGUCGACGCAUACGCCCCUGUCUUCGUGGCGUUCCGCUACCUUGCUUCAACGUCCUUUGUUUCUCUUGUUGCCGAUCGCUAUUCGUUGCCGAUCUGGUCGACGCCAUCCACACAGCCUU